rnacentral:rRNA from 1 species
UACGUAGGGGCCUAGCGUUGUCCGGAUUUAUUGGGCGUAAAGAGCUCGUAGGCGGUUUGGUAAGUCGGGUGUGAAAUCUCCACGCUCAACGUGGAGGGGCCACCCGAUACUGCCAUGACUGGAGUCCGGUAGGGGAGCGUGGAAUUCCUGGUGUAGCGGUGAAAUGCGCAGAUAUCAGGAGGAAGACCAGUGGCGAAGGCGGGUCUCUGGACAGUUCCUGACGCUGAGGUGCGAAAGCAUGGGGGAGCGAACAGG